ensembl:misc_RNA Metazoa_SRP Metazoan signal recognition particle RNA
GCUUGGUGUAGUGGCACACACCUGUAGUCCCAAUUACUCAGGAGGCUGAGGUAGGAGGAUCACUUGAGCCCAGGAGGUCAAGGCUGCAGUGAGCUAUGAUCUUGCCACUGCACUCCAGCCUGGGCAACACAGUGAGAUCUUGUCUCUA